rnacentral:rRNA from 1 species
CCUACGGGUGGCACCAGUGGGGAAUAUUGCACAAUGGGCGCAAGCCUGAUGCAGCCAUGCCGCGUGUGUGAAGAAGGCCUUCGGGUUGUAAAGCACUUUCAGCGGGGAGGAAGGCGUUAAGGUUAAUAACCUUGGCGGUUGACGUUACCCGCAGAAGAAGCACCGGCUAACUCCGUGCCAGCAGCCGCGGUAAUACGGAGGGUGCAAGCGUUAAUCGGAAUUACUGGGCGUAAAGCGCACGCAGGCGGUCUGUCAAGUCGGAUGUGAAAUCCCCGGGCUCAACCUGGGAACUGCAUUCGAAACUGGCAGGCUAGAGUCUUGUAGAGGGGGGUAGAAUUCCAGGUGUAGCGGUGAAAUGCGUAGAGAUCUGGAGGAAUACCGGUGGCGAAGGCGGCCCCCUGGACAAAGACUGACGCUCAGGUGCGAAAGCGGGGGGAGCAAACAGGAUUAGAUACCCGCGUAGUC